CAGUAGCCACGGUAAAACGUAGGUCCCGAGCGUUGUCCGGAUUUAUUGGGCGCAAAGCGAGCGCAGGCGGUUAGAUAAGUCUGAAGUUAAAGGCUGUGGCUUAACCAUAGUACGCUUUGGAAACUGUUUAACUUGAGUGCAAGAGGGGAGAGUGGAAUUCCAUGUGUAGCGGUGAAAUGCGUAGAUAUAUGGAGGAACACCGGUGGCGAAAGCGGCUCUCUGGCUUGUAACUGACGCUGAGGCUCGAAAGCGUGGGGAGCAAACAGGAUUAGAUACCCCGGUAGUCCCUGUCUCUUAUACA
rnacentral:rRNA from 1 species